rnacentral:rRNA from 1 species
CGAUCAGUAGCCGGCCUGAGAGGGUGAACGGCCACACUGGAACUGAGACACGGUCCAGACUCCUACGGGAGGCAGCAGUGGGGAAUAUUGCACAAUGGGCGAAAGCCUGAUGCAGCGACGCCGCGUGAGUGAAGAAGGUCUUCGGAUCGUAAAACUCUGUCCUUGGGGAAGAUAAUGACGGUACCCAAGGAGGAAGCCCCGGCUAACUA